UACGGAGGGUGCGAGCGUUAAUCGGAAUAACUGGGCGUAAAGGGCACGCAGGCGGAUUUUUAAGUGAGGUGUGAAAUCCUCGGGCUCAACCUGGGAAUUGCAUUUCAUACUGGGAAUCUAGAGUACUGUAGGGAGGGGUAGAAUUCCACGUGUAGCGGUGAAAUGCGUAGAGAUGUGGAGGAAUACCGAAGGCGAAGGCAGCCCCCUGGGAGAAUACUGACGCUCAGGUGCGAAAGCGUGGGGAGCAAACAGG
rnacentral:rRNA from 1 species